rnacentral:lncRNA from 1 species
UAUGCUUUCAACAAGUUUUCCAAACUAUUUAAUGAUUCAGCUUGAGGUGGUUUUGGAGCUUGCUAAUUAAACCUCUGAGAUUGGUUGGGUCUAUGCUGCAUAAAAUUGUUGUUUGGUCCACUUCCUUGGCUGGUCCAAGAAAAGUUAGGGUGAUUACACCAUGAAGGAUUAUAGAAGUUGGACUGGGGUCCUUGUCCACUCUUAUUUUGAUGUUGGUUCCCCACAUAGUAU